rnacentral:rRNA from 1 species
UACGUAGGUGACAAGCGUUGUCCGGAUUUACUGGGCGUAAAGAGCGCGCAGGCGGUCGAUCAAGUCGAGUGUGAAAGCCCCCCGGCUCAACUGGGGAGGGUCAUUCGAUACUGAUCGACUCGAAGGCAGGAGAGGGUAGUGGAAUUCCCGGUGUAGUGGUGAAAUGCAUAGAUAUCGGGAGGAACACCAGUGGCGAAGGCGACUACCUGGCCUGUUCUUGACGCUGAGGUGCGAAAGCGUGGGGAGCAAACAGGG